rnacentral:lncRNA from 1 species
GGGCCCUCAUGGGGUUUUUGAUUAUGUGAUUACUUGGCCGUUUUUUUAAUGAUUAUUUGAUUAUUAAGCCAAAUAUUUUAUGAUUAUUUGAUUACCUAGGACUGUAUUUUUAGUUUAUGAUUAUUUGAUUACUAAAGAUAAGCAAAUAUUUAAUGAUUAUGUGAUUAUAUUGGCAAAAAAAUGGUGAUUAUGUGAUUACUAGGACCCCCCCAUGAG